AUUGAACGCUGGCGGCAUGCCUUACACAUGCAAGUCGAACGGCAGCGGGGACUUCGGUCCGCCGGCGAGUGGCGAACGGGUGAGUAAUGUAUCGGAACGUACCAUUCAGUGGGGGAUAACUAUCCGAAAGGAUAGCUAAUACCGCAUAUUCUGUGAGCAGGAAAGCAGGGGAUCGCAAGACCUUGCGCUGAUUGAGCGGCCGAUAUCAGAUUAGCUAGCUGGUGAGGUAAAGGCUCACCAAGGCGACGAUCUGUAGCGGGUCUGAGAGGAUGAUCCGCCACACUGGAACUGAGACACGGUCCAGACUCCUACGGGAGGCAGCAGUGGGGAAUUUUGGACAAUGGGGGCAACCCUGAUCCAGCCAUGCCGCGUGAGUGAAGAAGGCCUCCGGGUUGUAAAGCUCUUUCGGCCGGGAAGAAAUCGUAUGGGUUAAUACCCUGUGCGGAUGACGGUACCGGCAUAAGAAGCACCGGCUAACUACGUGCCAGCCGCCGCGGUAACAC
rnacentral:rRNA from 1 species